rnacentral:lncRNA from 1 species
CAACAAUACAGAAGCAAAAUUAAAUCAUACUCAGAGAAAUUUUGGAAUUCAUUUGGUAGAAAUCUGCCUUUGUCUGUCUACUCAUAGAUCCAAUGGAUUGCAGUGAUUUUUUUGACAUAACUGUUCCAAACAUAUGUCUCAAAUGUAAUGGAUCAAUGUUAAAAUGUAUUGCUAUUGAGGGUUUUUUUACAAUGAUUAACAAUAUUAGUGCCAAAAAUUCCCAAAUUUUGGAUGCCUUAGUUCUUUACAUGCUUUUAUCCAAUAUUGUGGAAAGUCAUCAGAGUUCAAAAGAAGCAUUGCAUACUUGUUUGCUUCCUCUGCAAUGUUUACUACAAUCUCAUUGUCUAUGAAUUUUAUGAAGCAAUUGUAUUACAUUGAAUGCUCAUCUAAGUUAAUCUGUACACCAUAUGGUCCACAAAAAAGAUGGAGGAGAAAGUAAAUUAUUCAAAUUCCAUCUACCACUUUUUAAGACCUGUUUGCUACUUUUCCUGAAUAUUCCUUUCUCUUCCCCUUCCUUCUCAUUUUCUUUUUGUAUUCAUAGGCAAGUCCGAUUAAUCUGCUAAUGAUGUAUCAGUGACAAUGACAGUUCUUCUUUAUCAGAAGAAUAUUCUGUGUAUAGCAUCUCAACUGCAUUUUCUACAUUUAUUCUAACAAGGAGACCCCGCGAGUUGGUGGGCGCGGAUGUGAGUGGGGCUUGUGUGGUUCGUAGAGAG